rnacentral:rRNA from 1 species
AUGAACGCUGGCGGCGUGCCUAAUCCCUGCAAGUCGAGCGAACAGACGAGGAGCUUGCUCCUCUGACGUUAGCGGCGGACGGGUGAGUAACACGUGGAUAACCUACCUAUAAGACUGGGAUAACUUCGGGAAACCGGAGCUAAUACCGGAUAACAUGUUGAACCGCAUGGUUCAACAGUGAAAGACGGUCUUGCUGUCACUUAUAGAUGGAUCCGCGCCGCAUUAGCUAGUUGGUAAGGUAACGGCUUACCAAGGCAACGAUGCGUAGCCGACCUGAGAGGGUGAUCGGCCACACUGGAACUGAGACACGGUCCAGACUCCUACGGGAGGCAGCAGUAGGGAAUCUUCCGCAAUGGGCGAAAGCCUGACGGAGCAACGCCGCGUGAGUGAAGAAGGUCUUCGGAUCGUAAAACUCUGUUAUUAGGGAAGAACAAAUGUGUAAGUAACUAUGCACGUCUUGCCGGUACCUAAUCAGAAAGCCACGGCUAACUACGUG